AUGGGGUGGGGGGACCCAGGAGCCCCCAGCCCCGCUGCCCCCCUCUCUGUGAAGCCAGGUGGGAGCAGGCGGCUCCCCUCCAUGCCGCUGAGUCACGCCGUGUCUCUGCUCCUCUUCACCCCCGUGGGGACAAAGCCAAGCCCGCAGCUUGGCUGGGCUCCCUGCUGCACCAGGUGGCACCACCAGCUGCCCCGUUCCUUCCACAGGAGACGAAGGACUGGGGGGGGGAGGAAGCGGGGGCAUUCGAUGUUUGUCAGCAGCGCUGCCGGCGCGGGGGCCUGCGGUUUCGCAGUGAUAUCAUGUGUGGCAAGAGGGCCACGGCUUGGCGGCUGGACGCCUCCAUCGUCCCCGCCUCCUGCCUCCAGCUGUGCCCUUGUUGCGCAAGGGGCCGUGAGCCCAGUAGGGCCUGGAAAUGGGUCUAGUGCAUGGGGCAGAGCCUGCACUUGUGCCCGUUUAGUUCUGCUCCAUCACUGGCCCAGGCGGAUGAGAGAGACAGCAAAGGCGUGCCACCCCCCUGGUGCCCUGAGGGCAGGCAGCGCCCUUCCUUUGUGCACUUCGAAUGAGGGCACACGUACACGUGGCAGCAGCCCAGGAUGUCCCGACACAGCCCCUUGCAGGGAAGGGCUGGCUGCUUCCAUCCUUUAUCUGCCGUCCAUGACUACCAAGCAGAGAGGAGCGCUCACCUCACCACCAUCCCACGACCCUCCGUGGUGCCUCACGGGCUUCCUCAAAGGGCAGAUUUUUCCCCUGCGCUCUCAUUCCCUGGGGUUGUGUAGCAGCAGGCCCAGCCCGGUGUCCCAGCUUGCUUUCCCACAGCGCAGCAUUAUCUCACCAUCUUCCCCCGGGCAGUUACGGGUGGCUGCUACCAACAUUCGAGGCAGGAACGUGUUGCGGCACCUCGGCCGAGGCGAGCGCGCCGCGUGGCUCAUCAGCUUACGAAGGCUUUGGCUCCUCCGCCGCUUGUGGUUUCGGCGAGGAGCAAAGGCCCGCCCUGCGCUCGUUUACCUCAGCGUUAAUCAGGAGUGA
rnacentral:lncRNA from 1 species